rnacentral:misc_RNA from 1 species
GAUGAAGAACGCAGUGAAAUGCGAUAAGUAGUGUGAAUUGCAGAAUUCCGUGAAUCAUCGAAUCUUUGAACGCACAUUGCGCCUUCUGGUAUUCCGGAAGGCAUGCCUGUUCGAGAGUCAUUAACAACCGUUUCGAUCCCUUUCUUUCAGAAAUUACAAAGAGGAAAAGGGUUUGGUUAUGGUGGUGGAGGGAAAGGGAGCGUUUAGCCUGUAAAAAAAGAGGCUGUGUUCCGCCUCCCCCCCAAAAUUGUACAGGCGGUCGUGUGCGCCCACGCAUCGAGGUGUUGUAAAAGCUGCCACGGCACUUUUCACCUGUGCAGUGCGAGAUUGGCCAGCCGGUUUAAAAACCCCUCCAAACAAUCAAAGGUUGACCUCGGAUCAGGUAGGGAUACCCGCUGAACUUAAGCAUAUCAAUAAGCGGAGGA